rnacentral:rRNA from 1 species
AUUGAACGCUGGCGGCCGGCCUAACACAUGCAAGUCGAGCGGAGCGGCGGACGGGUGAGUAAUGCCUAGGAAUCUUCCUGGUAGUGGGGGAUAACGUCCGGAAACGGGCGCUAAUACCGCAUACUAUCAGAUGAGCCUAGGUCGGAUUAGCUGGUUGGUGGGGUAAAGGCCUACCAGGGCGACUAUCCGUAACUGGUCUGAGAGGAUGAUCAGUAACACAGGAGCUGAGACACGGUCAAGAGUCCUACGGUGGGCAGCAGUGGGGAAUAUUGGACAAUGGGCGAAAGCCUGAUCCAGCCAUGCCGCGUGUGUGAAGAAGGCCUUCGGGUUGGAAAGUACUUUCAGCGGGGAGGCGGUACCCGCAGAAGAAGCACCGGCUAACUCCGUGCCAGCAGCCGCGGUAAUUC